CCAGACUCCUACGGGAGGCAGCAGUGGGGAAUAUUGGGCAAUGGGCGCAAGCCUGACCCAGCAACGCCGCGUGAAGGAAGAAGGCUUUCGGGUUGUAAACUUCUUUUCUCAGGGACGAAGCAAGUGACGGUACCUGAGGAAUAAGCCACGGCUAACUACGUGCCAGCAGCCGCGGUAAUACGUAGGUGGCAAGCGUUAUCCGGAUUUACUGGGUGUAAAGGGCGUGUAGGCGGGGACGCAAGUCAGAUGUGAAGACCAUGGGCUCAACCUGUGGCCUGCAUUUGAAACUGUGCUUCUUGAGUACUGGAGAGGCAGACGGAAUUCCUAGUGUAGCGGUGAAAUGCGUAGAUAUUAGGAGGAACACCAGUGGCGAAGGCGGCCUGCUGGACGACAACUGACGGUGAGGCGCGAAAGCGUGGGGAGCAAACAGGAUUAGAUACCCGCGUAAG
rnacentral:rRNA from 1 species